ACUCCAGGCCAGAUAGCACUAAUCCUCUGGCCUCUGUAACUUGGACCUGCCCCCAGCUUCCGUGCAGCUCCUGAGCAGUCGCAUCAGUGUGUUGCCUGGGGCAAUUUCACCGAGGUCAGCUGGUGACCAGAGUAGUCUAUCCAACUGGGUUAAGAAAAGGAGCGAUACUCCAGAAGGGCAAACCUGACUAACUUUUGAUAGAAAAGGGAAGGUAGAAGAAACUGCUUUGAGGAAUUUUCUUCAGAGUAAGACAAGGAUGGUCAAGUAGAACACUUGGUGCAUUUGAGCAAAGACUUCUGCUGCCAGGGAACUACGGAAAGCAGUGAGGUGCUUACCUCCAGACACUGAUCAAAGUACCACCUGUUCCGAAGAGGGAAAGAACGUUGGUUGGGUCCACCUUGGCCUUUUUGCACCACAACUCCAUGCCAACAUAAUUCUGCCAUCAUUUCUUUUUAUGGAAAUUAUAACCUGUUCCCCCAUAUGUAAUUCCCAUUUUCCUGGGAUAUCGUACUGACUGGGACGGCUAUGGGGGUUGCUCCAGGUCUUCAGCACAUGGACUCCUUGAAAUAGCUGUUUGAAGACAUCUUUUCUGAAGAAAACAGGCUACUGCUGUUUAUUAAAACUAUUGGCAUUGAAUUCAUUUAUCAGCUGCUCAGCACAAAGUAUAAUUGGGUCAUGGUCCAGAAGGCUCACAACAUCUAAAUUAGUGCUUGGAAUCGUCAUUCGAAAGUCCUCAACUGGCUGAAGUCUGUUAACAGUUCAAGGACUCUAGUUAACUGUUGGCAUGCUAGCUGACCCAGUGGAAAUAUUUGAGAGGUUUUUAAAAAUAUUCCUUAACCUUGCCAGGAAGAGAAGUAAAAUUCUUCAGGUUACUGGGCAUUUGUUUCUGCUUCAUCCUGGCAGACAAGGCUUAAAGCCUAAGACUGCAGAUGUAUGAGGCAUCUUGAUAUGUAGGGCACUUAGUAUUUUAUUAAAGACAUAAAAGUGAAACUGCUAACGAUGUACAGACAGGUUGACC
rnacentral:lncRNA from 1 species